ACAAGUCUGCGUUUGUUUGUUUACCUUGCACGACCUUAGUCUUCUGCGGUUGAAACGUUGUUCGAUUUUAUAUACGAAAUACGAUUAAAAAAUAAGUAAAAAAUGCUACCUCUAAAAUUGCUUACAUGUAGAAGUACAACAUUGAGUUCUAUCGCAAAAAAAUUUAUUCGGGAAGGUCGGAGAUUAAAGUCGGAUGCCCAUGCUCCUGCGAUCCGAGAGCCUCACAUGAAUGACAUACCGAUUCCACACGAGCCAUUUGAAUCCGGAUUUAAAAGAAGGCAAAGAGGAAAUAACGCUGUGCUGUUAAUUGGACUAACAUUCUUUGCUACGACUGUUACCUAUGUUGUAAAUUCUGGGGUCAUCUUUUUCAAUCUUACUCCACCAAAAAAGAAUCUAGAAUAAAGUUGUUCCUGUAUUAGCUCAUGUGAAUUAUAAGUACUCAAUUGCAUUUUAUGAAAUGAAGUCAAUUAAAAAAAACCGUUACUGUGUACAUAGCAUAUUUAGCUGAUGAGUAAGAUUUUAGAAGAAAAAACUUGUUUUCCAUUUUGUGCGAAUUAUUUUUAGUUUAAUAAAAUUUCUUGCUAUA